AUUCUAAGAUGGUUUUUGUUAG
rnacentral:miRNA from 1 species